ACGAACGCUGGCGGCGUGCUUAACACAUGCAAGUCGAACGGAAAGGCCCUGCUUUCGUGGGGUGCUCGAGUGGCGAACGGGUGAGUAACACGUGAGUAACCUGCCCUUGACUUUGGGAUAACUUCAGGAAACUGGGGCUAAUACCGGAUAGGAGCUCCUGCUGCAUGGUGGGGGUUGGAAAGUUUCGGCGGUUGGGGAUGGACUCGCGGCUUAUCAGCUUGUUGGUGGGGUAAUGGCUUACCAAGGCUUUGACGGGUAGCCGGCCUGAGAGGGUGACCGGCCACAUUGGGACUGAGAUACGGCCCAGACUCCUACGGGAGGCAGCAGUGGGGAAUAUUGCACAAUGGGCGGAAGCCUGAUGCAGCAACGCCGCGUGCGGGAUGACGGCCUUCGGGUUGUAAACCGCUUUCGCCUGUGACGAAGCGUGAGUGACGGUAAUGGGUAAAGAAGCACCGGCUAACUACGUG
rnacentral:rRNA from 1 species